UCGCUGGCAACCCGCCCCGGGACUGGGGCACCACGGCAAGGUCCGCCCCUGGCGGCGGUGAGGGGCCACGUUGUGGGCACGAGCGAAGGCGGGUGACCUGGAGGGUGUGGGAAUUUGUGAGCGAGGUGGUGCCGGGAACCGUGAAUGCACAGGGGGGCGUGUAUGUGUGGAAACGCGCGCGCGCGCGCGUGUGUGUGUACGUACAGUGAGGCCGGCGGUGGGCUGGUCCCUGUGCCCAGGAGGGAGCCCCGCGUGGGGUGGAGUGUGGGGUUUUGCCUGGAAUAGAUGACUUCCAGGACCGUCUGCCUGGUGGGGCAAUGACAGUUCUGAGGCUGCCUAUGAAAUGGCUGAGGCACAGUGCCUAGGGGGCGGUGGUGAUCUCAUACCUCCCCUUUCUCAUCGGAGGUGGAGGGCCAAUGCUGGGGAGGGUGUUAGACCCACCAACGGCCCCCAGGCAAAGUCCCCAGGAGAAAGUGCUUCCCGCCCCAGGUCACCUGGCAGGUUCGGAGCAGAAUGGAACUCAGAUUCAGCGCUCUCCACUUUUAAGUCCCGAAUCCUCAGUUUUACUUCUUUGGGCCUGCCUAACUCUGAUUCUCACAGAGCCAUGUUGUGAAAAGGGCACUGGACCAGAGAUCAAGAAAUUUGAGUUCUAGUCUAGGGUCUGCACGCCCCCCUCCCCCCCAGCUGAGAGACCUGAGCAAUUCACCCCGGUCUGUCUCAGCCUCAGUUCCUUGGGCUGUUGAGUGGUUUCCAAGGGCCAGCCGGGUUGCAGCGGCCCUGUGAUUUGGAGCACUCCCCUCUCUUGCCAGCCGGGCAGGCCCUAGAGCACUCCUCCCUCUCUUCUCCACUCAUCCCCGGGUUGCUUAUCCUUUCUGCCUUGCAGCCCUCCACCCGUCCCAUGCAGUGCAUCCCCUGCGGCAGGAAUGGAAUGCUGACUCCAGUAGUGGGCUCCGAGGGAAAGGUCAUCAGAGGAAUUGUCUGGUGGCAAGGCCUCUCCCUGGCGUAACAAGGAAGGGCUUCCUGAGAGAGGUAGGGGCCAUGGUCCAGAUCCAGGAGCUGGUUUUUCCAGGUCAGCAUUAACAGGAUGCUCAAGUGUGGUGUGAUGUGGACAAUCCUGGGCCUCAAAGAUCUCAACUUCACCAGCUCCCCCCUCAGCUGGGGGCCAUUAGGUGGUCCUGGGGGAGGGACUCCCGACCAAGUAAGCCCUGCUAGGCCUUCUACAUGUGUCUUCAGGACCCCUUAUUUCUAAAGAAUCCCUCAGGAGUCAUUGGGGCGGUGGGGGAGGGAUGUUCCUUAAGUGGGGCUCUAGCCUUUCUCCAGUCCACAGUUGGCUCUAAUCUGUUUUUCAUGUUGGUUUUUCUUUUGCUGUUUCCCUUCAAGAAGGGAUUUGUUGGUUAAAAAUUUAGAAUUCAAAACACCUGUCCAACUAUGAAAUUGGCUAAUAAAAACAUGAAGGGUUGUUCUGAGGAUCAGAUGAAUCAAUGCAUGGAAAGCACUUUGCAUUUAAAGACACGUGAGCUAUGAAUAUUACCACACUGGAGAAUGGAGAGCCUGAGGAGGGGAGGGCUUGCCAGCAGUCCGGAGCAAGGUGUGGCAGGGCCCUGUCCUCUGGUCCCUGUCAGAGCCGUCAGAAGUCCUCCGCAGCCUCCUCCCUGGAGCCAGAGGACCUCAGGGACUCUGCUGCCAGCUUUGUGGUGAAGACAGGAGUUUGGAUGGGUUUUCCCACGUCUGGAGCUCAUGUAAGACAAGCGCCUGGUUCCCAUCUGGGAAGGGAGUUUCGAGGUGGCCUGUCACACGGUGCGAUGUGCCCCUGCUGCCCCGAUGGAUGCCAGAGCCUGCUUCCAGCUUUGUGCCAAAGCCGCGGGUGGAGGGCUGCUGUCUGCCAUCCCCUCAGCUGGCUCUCCAGGGCCCACAGGCCGGGACUCCCAGAUCUGUGCCCAAACACCCCUCCUUUGUUGUUUUCCCCGAAGUGGUUAGUCUCUUAGGGCCUUGCUGUGGUCUUAAUGUGUCAGGUGCUGAUGACUUAGCCACCUGGGAGGCUGGUACACAUACAGAGGGCAUGUGGGUGCUUUAGUCCACCAGCUCAGGCCUGCCUAUCCCGAGUCAGGGUGAGUGGGGUCCUGAGAUGUGUCCCCACCCCACAGCCUCUCCCCUGCUUACCCUUCUCAGUCCAACUUCCCUUUUUCACCUACAGGCCUUCCUGAGCUUGCCCUGACCCACCUGCUGGCCAUCCCCUUUCCUGUGGUCUGUGAAAUCUGCUGCCCUUCCAGAAUGUGCCACGCAUGAUCUCUUCAUUCUGUGGCCUUGCUGUUCUCAGAGUGGCCCUUACCUGACCUCUUUCCCUCCUGGACCACCAAGAUCCAGGAUGGCUUCAGGCCUUGGGAAACCCCGAUCUCUAGGGGACCGGUGACCCUUCUCUGACCUCCCAUGGCCUCAGGGAAUUUGUUCCUCUCACAGGACUCAUUUCACUGGCUUGAGUCUGGCCCUGGCUCUCCUCGUGAGAUUUGAGCUGCAGACACCCUGCCAGUGCUUGUGUCCUAGCACGUGCUUGAGAAGUGCUGGUCUAGUGUGUGAGUGAACACUUUGGCUGGAACACUCCUGCCCAGACCCAGUGGUUCCCUUCCCCCGUCUCCUCUGAGCAGUGUGGAGCCAGCAUCUGGAGCCCGCCCUCACUGCCAGCACCCCAGGCCCUGUGCCGUCCACUGCUGGGCCUGGGUGGUCUGUCCUCAGCUCACGUAGGAGUCAUUAGUUUCCAAGGCUGCCGCAACAAAUUGCCCCAAACUUAGCGGCUUAAAACAAUGGCCACUUACUGCCUCACGGUUUCUGUAAGGGGUCUGGGCACAGGGCGGCUCGGGUGGCUCAGCCGGUCUCUGUUGGGGUCUCAGGGGUGUCGGCAGGGCUGCUUCCCUUCUGGAGGCUCUGACAGUCAAUCUGUUUCCAAGUUCGUUAAGCUUGUUGGCAGAAUUUGUUCCCUUGGAGUUGUGGGACUGAGCAUCCCAUGUCCUUGCUAGCUGCCAGCCGGGGUCAUUCUCAGCCACCUUCACUUCCUGGCUUGUGCCCUCCCCUCCUCCCCGCCCUCAGAGCCACCGAUGGCGAUGGCGGAUGGAGUUCUCGAGCUUUCCAGUCCCCGACUGACACUUCUGCUGCAUUUCUCUUCUGCCGCCCUUUUCUGUUUUUAAGGGCUCAUGUGAUUACAUUGGACCCAGCCAGAUAAUCCAGGAUAAUCUCUCUAUUUUAAGGUCAACCUAUUGGUAAACUUCAUUCCAUCUGCAAAGUCCCUUCACAACAGCACCUUGAUUAGCAUUUGAAUGAGCAGAGAACCCAUGGGGAUACUGGGGCAUCUUUAUUUUUUUUGUAAUUUAAAAAAAAAUAGACUCCAUGCCCAAUGUAGGGCUUGAACUCAUGACCCUGAGAUCAAGAGUCACAUGUUCUAUUGACAGAGCCAGCCGGGGGCAUCUUUAGUUCUGCUCAGUCCCAGCAAUCAGGCCCAGUGUGGCUCUUCCUCCUCGGAGCUCCACGAGGGCCACUGCUCUGGGAGAGCCGGGGUUUCCACAGGGAGCACUUAGCCAAGUGCCCUCCUCUCACGGACCAGGAUGACAGUGCUGGGUACCCAGGUUGCCCUUGGAGACACCUGGGCGUGCUCCCUGUCAGACUGGGCCAGUUCCCCUGAGCAGCUGGCGCCCACGCGGGAGUCAGAAUUGGGCCGUGGUCCCCUGGCCCUUUGCUGAAUGUCCUCUGAGUGGGUAGCUUAGGGCAGGGGAAUGACAGCCUGGGGACAUUUCACUUUCAGACCUCUUUGUGGAUUUGCUCACAUCAGCUUUUUCACAGGAAAGCCCUGGCACAUCUGGCCAGUUUGUGUCCACCUCAGCGCCCACCAUCCCCCCUUGGCCCUCAGUCCCUAAAUGCAACAGGCUUUCACCUCUGCCCCCCUCCUUCUGCCUUUCCCACUGCCAGCCACCCUUCCCCCCCCCCCCCACCUCCUCAGGGUGCUAUGUGCCAGGGACACAGACUCCAGAAUCCCUCAGGCCAAGGCAGGAGUUCUGCUGCUGCCUCCAAGCUCUGCGACCUUGACCACGAAUGGAGCCUCUGGCCCCCAUCUUUGCAAUGGUGAUAACCUGGCAAAGUCCUGCAGAGAAAAUGAAACACUGUACAAAAACCCAGAACAGGCUCAAUCCCCCCCCACCCCACUGCUGGCCAUUGUUUUUGCCUUGGCAGCAGGUGGAGUGACCCCGCUUUGGCCUGUUUUCCCUGCUGUGCGGUCAGUCACACACCAGGGGAUCGUGACCCUCUGCUCAUCUGGCUGCCCCAGGUGCACCGUGACUCUCCCAAGGGCAGGGCCUCGUCUUUCAUCUCGGGAUCUGCAGCGGCCAGCACAGGCCUGCAUUUAGUAAAUGUAUCUGGGAAAAGCACAGGCAGGCGGGAAGGUCGGGGCUGAUGUGGCAUCUUUUCCCCUUGCUGAGUGCAGAGCGAGGCCAGCCCUGUGAGACAAAGCAGCUUAUCUAAGGCCACCGGGUGUCGGGCUUGCAAGGAGCUGUCUCUGGGCUCUCACGAGGACCUCCCGGCGCAUGCCAGCCCCUCAUGCUUGCACUGCACUCGAUAUUUCAAAGCACUGUGUCAUCUGAAGCUAACUUCGAGGGGCUGUGGCAGCAGGGGCACUAACCUCAUUUCCCUGGUGGGCGAAACUGAGGCCCAACACCGUGACCAUAAUUCUCUGCUAAGCCCUGUAUCCUGGCCCUGUUCAUCAGCCCGGUCUGAUGAGGAAGGCCCCACUGAAGAGCCACACUCUGGUGAGGACCCCUCAAGACUUAGCAGCUAUUCCUUAAUUCCUGUAUUCAUUUCACAAAAUGUUUCAGGUGCCUGCCCUGUGACCCAGUGGGAUGCAGCAGUGAGCAGUUUCUACAGCUUCCCCCGCGCUGGCCCAUCUCAGUGCAGAAACGGGGUCAUUGCUGUCACAAGUUAGGGGUGUGAAUCCACUUCUUCUGAUCGUGGCUGGUCCAGUGAGGGUAAAGAAUGAACUAAUGUUAACGAGAGAGAGAGAGUGGGAGAGAGAGACAGGGGGA